CAGUCGCCGCGGUAACACGUAGGGUGCAAGCGUUAAUCGGAAUUACUGGGCGUAAAGCGUGCGCAGGCGGUUCUAUAAGACAGAUGUGAAAUCCCCGGGCUCAACCUGGGAACUGCAUUUGUGACUGUAGAGCUGGAGUGCGGCAGAGGGGGAUGGAAUUCCGCGUGUAGCAGUGAAAUGCGUAGAUAUGCGGAGGAACACCGAUGGCGAAGGCAAUCCCCUGGGCCUGCACUGACGCUCAUGCACGAAAGCGUGGGGAGCAAACAGGAUUAGAUACCCGAGUAGUCCCUGUCUCUUAUAU
rnacentral:rRNA from 1 species